rnacentral:rRNA from 1 species
AUGGCCACCAAUAGAGAACCUGGGCCGGACAAUAUACCUGUUGAAUUCUAUCAAGUGUGUUGGGGGAUAGUGAAGGAUGAUGUCAUGUCCCUUUUUAGGCAUUUCCAUAAUGGGACGCUUGAUGUUCAACGUCUUAACUAUGGAGUGAUCACUUUACUGCCCAAAGUGUCAGGAGCUAACAAAAUCCAAUAG